GAGAAUCAACCAUUAAAUAAAAAAAAAAAGAGAGAAAACAUGAGAGAAAGAUUGGUGAGGAUCCAAAUCUAGAGAUUUAAAAUAGCUAUUUAAAAUACCUUCUUAGUUUACGGAUUUUUUGAAAUUUUAUUAGAGUUUUUUUUUUUUGGUGAAUAAAUUUUAUUAGAGUUUAAAAUUGUACUCCUUUUACCAAAAAAUAGUACUACUUAUGUUUUUUGCAUGUGUUGCUG
rnacentral:lncRNA from 1 species